UACGUAGGGUGCAAGCGUUGUCCGGAAUUAUUGGGCGUAAAGAGCUCGUAGGCGGUCUGUCGCGUCGGCUGUGAAAACCCGGGGCUCAACCCCGGGCCUGCAGUCGAUACGGGCAGACUAGAGUGCGGUAGGGGAGACUGGAAUUCCUGGUGUAGCGGUGAAAUGCGCAGAUAUCAGGAGGAACACCGGUGGCGAAGGCGGUUCUCUGGGCCUUACCUGACGCUGAGGAGCGAAAGCGUGGGGAGCGAACAGG
rnacentral:rRNA from 1 species